rnacentral:tRNA from 3 species
GGGGAAGAAGUGUUACGGUAGCACAGCGGUCUCCAAAUCCGCUGGCGAUGGUUCGACUCCAUCCUUCCCUGCCA